CUCAGGACGAACGCUGGCGGCGUGCCUAAUACAUGCAAGUCGAACGGUCUUUCUAUGGAAGCUUGCUUCCACUGAGAAGAUAGUGGCGAACGGGUGAGUAACACGUGGGUAACCUGCCCAUAAGAGGGGGAUAACAUCCGGAAACGGGUGCUAAUACCGCAUAGUUUUCUUGAUCGCAUGAUCGGGAAAGGAAAGACGGCCUUUGUGCUGUCACUUAUGGAUGGACCCGCGGCGUAUUAGUUAGUUGGUGAGGUAACGGCUCACCAAGACGAUGAUACGUAGCCGACCUGAGAGGGUGAUCGGCCACAUUGGGACUGAGACACGGCCCAAACUCCUACGGGAGGCAGCAGUAGGGAAUCUUCCGCAAUGGACGAAAGUCUGACGGAGCAACGCCGCGUGAGUGAAGAAAGGUUUUCGGAUCGUAAAACUCUGUUGUCAGAGAAGAACAAGUUGGAGAGUAACUGCUCCAGCCUUGACGGUAUCUGACCAGAAAGCCACGGCUAACUACGUGCCAGCAGCCGC
rnacentral:rRNA from 1 species